AAUCAACGCUGGCGGCGUGCCUCAGACAUGCAAGUCGAACGAUUAAGACUCCCUUCGGGGAGUGCAUAAAGUGGCGCACGGGUGAGUAACACGUAAGUAAUCUACCUUCGAGUGGGGAAUAACAACCGGAAACGGUUGCUAAUACCGCAUAAUGCAGCGGCAUCGUAAGAUGACAGUUGUUAAAGGAGCAAUUCGCUUGAAGAGGAGCUUGCGGCAGAUUAGCUAGUUGGUAAGGUAAUGGCUUACCAAGGCAACGAUCUGUAACCGGUCUAAGAGGACGGUCGGUCACACUGACACUGAAUAACGGGUCAGACUCCUACGGGAGGCAGCAGUCGGGAAUUUUGGGCAAUGGGCGAAAGCCUGACCCAGCAACGCCGCGUGAAGGAUGAAGUAUUUCGGUAUGUAAACUUCGAAAGAAUAGGAAGAAUUAAUGACGGUACUAUUUAUAAGGUCCGGCUAACUACGUGCCAGCCGCCGCAGUAAAAC
rnacentral:rRNA from 1 species